UACGUAGGGGGCAAGCGUUGUCCGGAAUCAUUGGGCGUAAAGAGCGUGUAGGCGGCCUGGUAAGUCCGCUGUGAAAGUCCAGGGCUCAACCCUGGAAUGCCGGUGGAAACUGUCAGGCUCGAGUCCGGAAGAGGCGAGUGGAAUUCCUGGUGUAGCGGUGAAAUGCGCAGAUAUCAGGAAGAACACCCGUGGCUAAGGCGGUUCUCUAGUACGGUACUGACGCUGAGACGCGAAAGCGUGGGGAGCGAACAGG
rnacentral:rRNA from 1 species